AAGAAAAGCAAGUAAGGGGCUAAGAGAAGAGAUAGGCUGGAGAAAACAACAGAAAGUGUCCAAAGUUUGGAAUCAGUUCAAAUGUAAUUAAAAAGAACACUCUGCACAGUGUGUCUACUGCAAAAUCAAACUAGCUUACCGCACUAAGAGCAUGACGUCAGUGCUUCAGCAUCUCAACAGAAAACAUUGAGUCUAACUUAAUCAUCCGUUUCACAAAAAGGA